rnacentral:rRNA from 1 species
UACGGGGGGAGCAAGCGUUGUUCGGAUUUACUGGGCGUAAAGGGCGCGUAGGCGGUCAGCACAAGUCAGUUGUGAAAUCUCCGAGCUUAACUCGGAAAGGUCAACUGAUACUGCGGGGCUAGAGUGCGGAAGGGGCAACUGGAAUUCUUGGUGUAGCGGUGAAAUGCGUAGAUAUCAAGAGGAACACCUGCGGCGAAGGCGGGUUGCUGGGCCGACACUGACGCUGAGGCGCGAAAGCUAGGGGAGCGAACGGG